rnacentral:rRNA from 1 species
AAUCAACGCUGGCGGCGUGCCUCAGACAUGCAAGUCGAACGCGAAAGUCCCCUUCGGGGGAGUGAUUAGAGUGGCGCACGGGUGAGUAACACGUAGGUAAUCUACCUUCGAGUGGGGAAUAACUCAGGGAAACUUGAGCUAAUACCGCAUAAUGCAGCGGCACCACAUGGUGACAGUUGUUAAAGCAUUUAUGCGCUUGAAGAGGAGCCUGCGGCAGAUUAGCUAGUUGGUAAGGUAAUGGCUUACCAAGGCUACGAUCUGUAACCGGCCUGAGAGGGCGGACGGUCACACUGACACUGAAUAACGGGUCAGACUCCUACGGGAGGCAGCAGUCGGG